CCGUACACGGUGAUGCAUAGUACCCAAAAUCUGUCCGUUUAAUGAGCUAGCCCUUCUCAGAUCAUAAACCAUGUCAGCCUUAUCCUGGAUGAAGAGCUGGAUCUGGUAAGAGUACAACAGUGCCUUUCCUUGCAUAAUUUUCAUUGGUUUCGGAGUCCUGCACGGUAGUGCAUCAGACGACUGCACAUGUCAUGCAGUUAAACUGUAGGCACCCAGACAAGCAGGGGCCUUGCUUGGAACCAGUCGAACGAGGAUCAUCCUGACAACUUCUGAGCUGUCUGACUGAAAACCUGGCCACAACUGGUACUGGCAAUGUCUGGAUUAAAACUUGUUUCAGCUCUACUUACCUGUUCCAGCUGCUGUGCAGUGUCCUCAAUGGCUACAGCCUUGUCCUGGCCUGUCUUCCCACCCAUCAUGUGGAAGAGAUUAAGGGUCACCACCUUUAUCUGUCCCAGGAGGAGGGUCUCCUUCGCUGCAGUGGACUGGAUGUGGUUCCAUGUGCUUUCCUGUUUAUCCGAAAAAGAAGAGUUUGCUUUCAGACAAGCACGUGUAGCCUAUGCCAAAUGCAAAGUAGGACUAAGCAAGGCUAAAAAAUUGGAGUGAAAUGGCUUGGUGCCACUGUUUACAGAAAGUUUCAUCAGUGUGGCCUGUAGCGUAGUGGUUAAGGUAAUUGACUGGGACACGCAAGGUUGGUGGUUCUAAUCCCGGUGUAGCCACAAUAAAAUCCGUACAGCCGUUGGGCCCUUGAGCAAGGCCUUUAACCCUGCAUUGCUCCAGGGGAGGAUUGUCUCCUGAUUAGUCUAAUCAACUGUACGUCGCUCUGGAUAAGAGCGUCUGCCAAAUGCCAAUAAUGUAAUGUAAUGGAUGCUCACGUCGUUAUCGUUAUAGUUACUGUUAGUUAUAGUUCAUGGUGUGGAUGGGCCUUAACUGUAAUCAGGAAAUGGUGUGAACAGAACCUGCAACUCUCUUCCAUGCUCCUAUAUAUGGAUUGAUUAUGAAUCAUGGGAAGGGGCUUGUGCGGU